rnacentral:rRNA from 1 species
GGUCAGGACGAACGCUGGCGGCGUGCCUAAUACAUGCAAGUCGAGCGAAUUUCUUUGGAGCUUGCUCCAAAGAANUUAGCGGCGGACGGGUGAGUAACACGUGGGCAAUCUGCCCGUAAGACUGGGAUAACUCCGGGAAACCGGGGCUAAUACCGGAUAAUCCCGACUCUCUCCUGAGAGUCGGUUGAAAGAUGGUUUCGGCUAUCACUUACGGAUGAGCCCGCGGCGCAUUAGCUAGUUGGUGAGGUAACGGCUCACCAAGGCGACGAUGCGUAGCCGACCUGAGAGGGUGAUCGGCCACACUGGGACUGAGACACGGCCCAGACUCCUACGGGAGGCAGCAGUAGGGAAUCUUCCGCAAUGGACGAAAGUCUGACGGAGCAACGCCGCGUGAGUGAAGAAGGUUUUCGGAUCGUAAAACUCUGUUGUUAGGGAAGAACACGUACGAGAGAACUGCUCG